GCCAACAGCCGCGGUAAAACGUAGGGUGCAAGCGUUGUCCGGAAUUACUGGGUGUAAAGGGAGCGCAGGCGGACCGGCAAGUUGGAAGUGAAAACUAUGGGCUCAACCCAUAAAUUGCUUUCAAAACUGCUGGCCUUGAGUAGUGCAGAGGUAGGUGGAAUUCCCGGUGUAGCGGUGGAAUGCGUAGAUAUCGGGAGGAACACCAGUGGCGAAG
rnacentral:rRNA from 1 species